UACAGGGGGUGCAAACGUUGCUCGGAAUCAUUGGGCGUAAAGCGCACGUAGGCGGUUCGUUAUGUCGGAUGUGAAAGCCCUUGGCUUAACCGAGGAAGUGCAUCCGAAACUGGCGAGCUAGAGUACUAAAGAGGAUCGCGGAAUUCCCGGUGUAGAGGUGAAAUUCGUAGAUAUCGGGAGGAACACCGGUGGCGAAGGCGGCGAUCUGGGUAGAUACUGACGCUGAGGUGCGAAAGCUAGGGUAGCGAACGGG
rnacentral:rRNA from 1 species